GGGAAGUUAGAUGGGUUCACCAGAUGUGUUUUGAUAUGGGUAGGUCAAAAGGUCAAGCCGCAUAAUAGAUUUAUAGCCUUUUUUAACAUUAAAAAAAUAGUAUAAAAUCAAAAGGUGGGAUUUUUUAAAAAAUAAGCUUUGUGUUAUGUGUGGGGCAGUUAGAUGGGUUCCUCACACGUGUUUUGAUAUGGGUAGGUCAAAAGGUCAAGCCGCAUAAUAGAUUUAUAGCCUUUUUUAACAUUAAAAAAAUAGUAUAAAAUCAAAAGGUGGGUUUUUGGAAAAAAUAAGCUUUGUGUUAUGUGUGGGGCAGUUAGCUGA
ensembl:lncRNA